AUGCUACGACGACAUGUGGCCGGCUGGUGCGUCAAGGUGAUCUGUGACCACCUUGGGCUAGGAGUCAAAGACGGGGCUACCCUACAUCUGGCACAGCAAGGGCAGCAACCCAUUCGUGAACCUGAAGAAGGAGUACAAGGGCAUCUUCUGGCAGGAGGACAUCAUCCCCUUCUUCCAGGUCGUGAAGCUGACAAGGAAUGCGACACCAUGCAGAAGUGCUACAUCUCGCUCUCGCAGCAGGUCAAGGAGAAGCUCGGCAAGAUCGACCCGUACUUCAUCAAGCUCGCCGACGCCAUGGUCACCUAG
rnacentral:rRNA from 1 species